UCCAGGCGCAGUGGCGCAUGCCUGUAGUCCCAGCUACUCAGGAGGCUGAGGCUGGAGAAUCCCUUGAGUUCAGGAGUUCUGGGCGUAGUGCGCUAUACUGAUUGGGUGUCUGCACUAAGUUCGGCAUCAAUAUGGUGACCUCCCGGGAGCCGGGAACCACCAGGUUGCCUUAGGAGGGGUGAACUGGCCCAGGUUGGAAACAGAGCAGGUUAAAACUCCCUUGCUGAUCAGUAGUGGGAUUGCACCUGUGAAUGCCACUGCCCUCCAGCCUGGGCAACAUAGUGAGACCCUGCCUCUU
ensembl:misc_RNA Metazoa_SRP Metazoan signal recognition particle RNA